UGAACUUUACCAAAAAUUAUUUAACACUUAUAAAAAGUGUUAUCCUGAUAAAAAAUCAACUAUUGUACAAGAAAAUGUCAAUAAGAUUUGGAACGAUUUCAAGUAAAAGUACAAAAAUUAUGGCAAGCAAUUUGAAGUGAAUAUUCAAAAUAAUAUUGAAUCCUUAAAUCAGAAGAUAACUCAGAACACAGCAAGAAAUUUAUCGUUUUUUACAAGUCUUAAGUCACAAAAUACAGUCAAAGAUGGUUCUCAACCGUCAGCGAGUAAAGAAGAUCUUCCAAAAAACAGUCUCUACUGAAAAAAUUUUACCUCGUGAAGAACAAAUAUGCAAUUCAAAAACUGCUACACCCGCCCAAGAUGUAAGCAGAAAAAAAAUUUCAGUUAUGGAAUCAAGCUUAAAUUCACUACUUCUACAAAGAGAUUCUGGAUUGUCUACAUUUGGACUUGAUAAAUAAAUUAAAAAGUUAAAAGAAAAAAUAGAAACUGAAAAAAAAUCUCUCAAGCGUAAUCAAUUAGCUUAACAAAGAUUAUCGAAAUCCCGUGCAACAAAAAAAAAAGCUUGAGGAUGUUUGUCUUGAGCAUCCGGAUG